rnacentral:rRNA from 1 species
ACACUCCUACGGGAGGCAGCAGUGGGGAAUUUUGGACAAUGGGCGAAAGCCUGAUCCAGCAAUGCCGCGUGAGUGAAGAAGGCCUUCGGGUUGUAAAGCUCUUUUGUCAGGGAAGAAACGGUGAGAGCUAAUAUCUUUUGCUAAUGACGGUACCUGAAGAAUAAGCACCGGCUAACUACGUGCCAGCAGCCGCGGCAAUACGUAGGGUGCAAGCGUUAAUCGGAAUUACUGGGCGUAAAGCGUGCGCAGGCGGUUUUGUAAGUCUGAUGUGAAAUCCCCGGGCUCAACCUGGGAAUUGCAUUGGAGACUGCAAGGCUAGAAACUGGCAUAGGGGGGUAGAAUUCCACGUGUAGCAGUGAAAGGCGUAUAUAUGUGGAGGAACACCGAUGGCGAAGGCAGCCCCCUGGGUCAAGAUUGACGCUCAUGCACGAAAGCGUGGGGAGCAAACAGGAUUAGAUACCCCUGUAGUCCCAUGAU